rnacentral:lncRNA from 1 species
UAAAAAUAAAAAAAUUUUGACAAUUUGACAGUUUUCAGCUAACUUCAGAAUAAUGUAAACAAAGGGAUAGAAGAGAUGAGACAUUAUAAUCGUGGUGCGUUGUCACGAAUAUUACACAAUAUCUCUAGCUCUAAGGCAACUAUCGAUCAUCGCGCGGAUCAUCUGUGAGAAAGUAGAAAGCGACCAUAAACUAUUAUGAAAUAAUAAUAAAAGGAGUCAAGGAGCCUUGGACGUCGAAAAUUUUUCGUGGUAUCACCGGGGUACACGAGUAAAGAGUCAGAGUUUGCAGGUUAAAUGUCACGUGUCUAAAAUUAUUUCUUCCAUCCGACAAUGCGACACUGUCAACAGUAGAUGUAAAUGAUACUGGAUCUUAGAUAGAUUAAGGGGAAAAUAAAACAACAACCUCCAUGUUAAUAACUUUCACUGUCAAAGGGUAUAGCUUUCGUUGCAUGACCUUGAUGUACUACUGGCUUUAUCUGGAUAUCUACCGAGUUGUGUGUGGAUUUACGAGAGUAAGACUCCCACGAGUCGUGCGCACAUGUCCUCGGUCCCCGAAGAAGCAAAGUGCCUCGGUGGCUGGUUACCGCUAGCGAAGCAAUCCAUAUUCUAAGCACACUAAGUAGGAAGAAGACGAAGAAAAAGGAAGAAGAAAUGGUAUGGGUUUGCGAAUAAGUUAAGCCUGAGGAAUCGUGCGAGCUAUUGCCGAGGUGAAAGGUGAAAGUCGCAUCAGUUAGACUCAUCUGCUCGGCACGAUCUGAGGAGAUGUCUGUGGUCGUGAAAAUUCUACUACACUGGUACAUUUGUGUGGAGUACACUAGAGAUAGAAGUGUUGCAUGAUGCAUAUCCAACACUGGGUAUCUUCUCUGGUUACCAGGCUAUCGUGGACGACAUCCGAGAGAAAAUAAUAAAAUUAGCGCAAAAACCUGACUCGAGAUUUCAUUGUGGAUUGUGGUGUUAAUUAUUCGCCAAUUAACACGCGGAGCCUGAUGAAGCAAGCUUGCGUAAUCUGCGAAAAAACCAGGUUUGUAGCCACGGGAACGCUCAACUACAUCUACCUUGCUUUGUCUUGAGCGCUACUGUUUGUGGCUAUUCAAGCUUGGUUAACAUUAUCUCCAGUGUGCAUAACCGAGAAGAAGAUGAUGAUGGAACAGACAAAGAAGAAAGACAAGAGGAGUCAAACUUUAGCUCAAACGUGUAAUCAUUUUCACGUCUCGGUACUUUGGUUAAUAAACACUUUCAUAAUAUCACCGCGGUCAGGAUGAAACGACCUGGGUUACUUUUUUACGACUCAUUUACUUUAUUAUAAUUAUUAAUUAUUUAAUUAAAUUUUAUAAUUUUUUUAAUUAAUUUAUUUUUUUUUUUUUUUUUUUUUUUUUAGAAUUAUGAAACACUUCCUGUGUGUUAUGAAUAAUUAGUGUCGUUAGUCCGGAAGCGUGUUAAUUGUUUGGGCAAGGUGUUUAAACAGCGAAGAGGAGAGAAGAAAAAAAAAUAAGUGAAGAGUAGGACGGAUGAUGUUAAAAUAAAAUAGGAGAUUAAUGACUGACCUCGACGGUUCUUUCUAUUUCAACAAGUGAAAACAAAAAACACCAUCGUUUACUCUAGACAGAAUGACUGCGGUUUCAUCGGCGUGACGGCGUUAUCACUAAAUCGUUUUGUCAUAUACUUAAAACUCUUUUCUUCAUCUACAAUGCCAAUUUCAAUCUCAGUUGGCUGGGUACCCUGGCAUUAAAGCUGCGGUGUAGAAGUAUUUAACAACCCUCGUGGAUUAUAUUUUAUUUGCUAAAAUAUAAUAAAUUUAUAAAUUUAUGCCACGGCCAUAACUCUACCAUUUAAAUAGCGUAAAGACAGUAUUAAAUUUCUUAUGAUUUUAGUUUUAGUUAAACUCGUCUAAAGUUUAUCACCGUUAUUAUAAUAUUACGUAGUCAUAUGAAUUAUCUUGCAACCGAGUUUGCUAAAUUAUUACUUAUAAUAUUAACGCAACUUGUUGCUUUUUGUUUGGCUAAUCAUACGAGAAAUUGAGUCGUUGAGUUAUGGUUUAUGGUGAUGAAAAGUACGUCAUUAACUGAAAGUGACUGAGCUCAAGAUACGGUCAGACAUACGAAGAAUUCCUGACAAAAUUAUUAAAUUUUAUAUCUUCACCAUAUACGCUGAUAAUUUAUGCUAAUAUAUAUAGAGAAGAUAUAUUAUAGUAAAUAAUAACAUUGUAUUUAUUAUUUAUACGUAUUUUCUUUUUCAGGAAAAACUUUCAGAUGAGCGUCCUAUUGACCGUGGAGAUAAAAUCGAUAUAUUGUAUAUAUAUAUACAUAUACAAGCAUUAUAUAUUGUAUAUUCAAUCGGUGUAUACGGGUGAGAUUUGUGAGAUGCGACAAGUAAUGAGAAUCGGCGAAAGUCUCGUACAUUACAUGCGAUUAUAGAUAUCUCACAAGUUACAAGUUUAAGUGUAUAUUUAAAAUGAUUGAACAUCAUCAUCUUAUUGAAUGGCCUCCUCUUAGCUGUCAUUAUCAUUGUUGGCCUUUCGACCUUUUAAAAUUUGCCAAUCGGAUUAGCAAACACAGCUAAUUACUCUUUAAUUCACUAUUACAAAUACAGUUUUGUUAAAUUUUAUUCAAUUAUUACCUAAGAUUAACCUUUUACUGAAGAUAAAUUCACAAUCACAACAAUAAAGUUAAGAAGAAAAUGAAGAAGAAAUUAUUUUUAUUUAAAGACAAUUCGAGCAACAUGUCAAAAGUUAUUUUCGUUACUCUCACGACAAGAACGAUUUAAUCGUGAGAAUAACACGGUUAUAUUCUUCUUCUUUUUUGUUAAUAUUGUUGUUGUUGUUGUCUAUGUUACUGCGGUAAUUGUUACGACAUUAGUUAGUUGUUUGUUAAAUAAAAAAUUGAUUUUUCAUGAGAAUCACUUGGUUUAUGUUACAUGUUAAUAUUUUUAUCUGUUACAGAACUAUCUUCUUUAAUUUUAAUUACCAAAAUAAUUAAUGUAAUUUGUGUUAUAACAAGUAAUAAUUGGAGCGAAGUAUUAAAAUAUUGAGAAAUAACUUACGUUGCGAUGAAUAACGAUCCAGUAAUGAUCCAAGUAUUUGAUCCAGGGUAAUGAUGCACGAAGUGGCGUUAUUGCGAGAAAGGUGAGAGUGAAUAGCUGAGAGCAUCUUCAUCGGAGCUUUAUAUAGGAAUUGUAUCCCCUUACUUCUAGGCUGGUAGAAAGAGGAGGCCACCUCCUCCACCGACACCAUCACCAGCUCCGGCGCCGUCCAGAUCCUCAGAGUCCGUACCGCAGGAUCUUCAUGAAGAUUUAAUAACACACCUGGACCCAUUACUCCGGCAUGUGUUAUCUAUUAUCUAUCAACCGUCAGCGUGUAUGACACUGUUUCGCAAUUUACAUCCAGCCUGCCAAUAAACCGGCUGACUGUCAAUUAGACUCGGAAUCAGAAUCUACAAUUCCAGAGUGUCCUUCAAUUAAACUUAAACCUCAGAGAGCAGUAAAAAAAAAUUAAAAUAACUUGAAACAAGAUUGAGAUUUUGAUGAUUUUAUUUUUUAUUAAAAUUCAACUAUUUAAUUCGCGUUAUUCAAAGUCUUUUGUGUGAGUUUAUUGUACGGCAAGUCAGAGAGGUUGAGAGAAAUUUAUAUAUAUACACAUUACUUUUAAGUAGCCUUGCAUUUAAAUCUACAUUAUUUUGUAAUAUAUUUCUUCUGAGAUUUUAUUUAAAAUAACUUAUCGGUUCAACCGUGUCUUAGUAAGUGUAAUUUUAAUUGUAAUUGUAAUUUUUAUUUAAAUUUAAAAUAACCUUAUUAAUUCAAAGCGAUGGUGAUACCUGAAUGAUCCCAACUAGGAUUUUAAAUAUUAUUGAGGCACUUGCCAGCGCGGGUGACUCAUCGCGUAAGAGCAGUUGAGUCGAAAAAUGUUUUAAUUACAAUUUUUAAAAAAGUGUUGGGCUGUGCGAUAAUUA